rnacentral:rRNA from 2 species
UACGGAGGGUGCAAGCGUUGUUCGGAAUCACUGGGCGUAAAGGGCGUGUAGGCGGUCCGCUAAGUCUGAUGUGAAAGCCCGAGGCUUACCCUCGGAAGUGCAUUGGAGACUGGCGGACUAGAGUCCCGGAGAGGAGGGUGGAAUUCCUGGUGUAGCGGUGAAAUGCGUAGAUAUCAGGAGGAACACCGGUGGCGAAGGCGGCCCUCUGGACGGUGACUGACGCUGAGACGCGAAAGCGUGGGGAGCAAACAGG